AUUGAACGCUGGCGGCAUGCUUUACACAUGCAAGUCGAACGGUAACAGGCCGCAAGGUGCUGACGAGUGGCGAACGGGUGAGUAAUGCAUCGGAACGUGCCCAGUCGUGGGGGAUAACUACUCGAAAGAGUAGCUAAUACCGCAUACGAUCUAUGGAUGAAAGCGGGGGACCGUAAGGCCUCGCGCGAUUGGAGCGGCCGAUGUCAGAUUAGGUAGUUGGUGGGGUAAAGUCUCACCAAGCCAACGAUCUGUAGCUGGUCUGAGAGGACGACCAGCCACACUGGGACUGAGACACGGCCCAGACUCCUACGGGAGGCAGCAGUGGGGAAUUUUGGACAAUGGGCGCAAGCCUGAUCCAGCAAUGCCGCGUGCAGGAAGAAGGCCUUCGGGUUGUAAACUGCUUUUGUACGGAACGAAACGGCUCUGGUUAAUACCCGGGGCUAAUGACGGUACCGUAAGAAUAAGCACCGGCUAACUACGUG
rnacentral:rRNA from 1 species